rnacentral:rRNA from 1 species
AUUGAACGCUGGCGGCAGGCCUAACACAUGCAAGUCGAACGGAGAGGCAGACGGGUGAGUAAUGCCUAUGAAUAUGCAUGGUAGUGGGGGAUAACGUCCGGAAACGGGAGCAAAUACUGCAUAAUAUCAGAUUAGCCUAGGUCGGAUUAGCUAGUUGUUGGGGUAAAGGCCUACCAAGGCGACGAUCCGUAACUGGGCUGAGAGGAUGAUCAGUCACACUGGAACUGAGACACGGUCCAGACUCCUACGGGAUGCAGCAGUGGGGAAUUGUGGACAAGUGGCGAAAGCCUGCUCCAGCAAUGCCGCGUGUGGGAAGAAGGUCUUCGGAGUGUAAAGCACGUUAAGUUGGGAGGCGUUACCCACAGAAUAAGCACCGGCUAACUUCGUGCCAGCAGCCGCGGUAAUUC